AUUGAACGCUGGCGGCAGGCCUAACACAUGCAAGUCGAACGAGUGGCGGACGGGUGAGUAAUGUCUGGGAACCUGCCUGAUGGCGGGGGAUAACUACUGCAACCGGUACCUAAUACCGCUAACCAUCAGAUGUGCCCAGAUGGGAUUAGCUUGUUGGUGGGGUAACGGCUCACCAAGGCGACGAUCCCUAGCUGGUCUGAGAGGAUGACAGGCCACACUGGAACUGAGAAACGGUCCAGACUCCUACGGGAGGCAGCAGUGGGGAAUAGUGCGCAAUGGGCGCAAGCCUGAUGCAGCCAUGCCGCGUGUGUGAAGAAGGCCUUCGGGUUGUAAAGUACUUUCAGCGGGGAGGCGUUACCCGCAGAAGAAGCACCGGCUAACUCCGUGCCAGCAGCCGCGGUAAUAC
rnacentral:rRNA from 1 species